UUUAAACGCAGUUAUGAGUUUUCAUGUCUAACUUUGAUCGUCUAUUGUAUUUAAUAUUUUUUAUGAUUAGUAUUUUGUUUGUUAUAAGAUGAUAAAAUAUAAAUAGUACUUUAUACGUGACUUAUGUUUUUAAAAAAAUUUAUAUAAGACAGACGAUCAAAGUUGGACACAAAAACUUAUGGUUGUGCUUAUA
rfam:Oryza sativa Japonica Group DNA, chromosome 6, cultivar: Nipponbare, complete sequence.